GUAAAGUUACUGUGCAAUUGCUUUUCCCCCCUUUCUGCAUGUAUCACAGCAAUGCCACUAGUCAAGGGGACUCACUUUCCCCAAGGCAGAGACACAGGUAGGCUUGGCCAAAACAAAUGACAUUUGCUUUUCACCCAUUCUGUUAUUCUAGGCUACAGUUCUCCCUCAGUUUAAAUCCAGUUUCUCCACCUCAAGCAAUGCAGCAGGAAAUGUCAAUAAGUUGCUUGAAAGACUAUUACUGCUUCCUUUUACUACUAAUUGGCACAUGUAAGAAAUACAACAGGCAGCAGUUUAACUCAAAAUUGACAGAACACCACAAAUAUAUGUAUUCAAUUAGUAUUUAUUCAGUGAGAAAUUUCUAACAGGUCAAAGUGAUUAUCAGAUCUGAUAAUUCUUGCAGUGGUUGGAGCCCUGGGCCCUUUAAAUCACUGCCCUAGCCUGGCUGCCGGAGCCCCAGGGUAGUGGCGGCAGGGCUCCGUUGGCGAUUUAAAGAGCCCGGAGCUCCUCUGCGGUAGCGGCGGCCAGAGCCCCAGAACCCUUUAAAUCGCGUCUGAGCCCUGGGGCUCCCAGCCGCCUCUGCAGCUGGUAGCUCUGGGGGUGAUUUAAAGACCCCGCCUCUUCCGGUUGAGGCCACACCCUUGCUCAGGACUCCGGCGUACCGGUAAGUCCUUUAACUUACUUUCAGCCCUGGUGUAAGUGCUCCUGGUGAAGAUGUGUACCACCGACAGAAGGUGGGUAGUGUGAACAUGAAAAACUGCAGUAAUUGCUGCAGUGGCUGUAAGUUGGCCUAACAUAGGUCGAUUUUAUGUCUACAAUACACAAUUGCCUUAGUGUUCCAACUUGGAAAGUCAAUAUUAACAUACCUUGGUCGUGUCAGAAUCUUCAGUUUUCUUCUAAGUUCUUGAUUCUCGGACCGCAACUGCCGCACCAUCUCCUCGGAGUCCCUCAGCCGCUCCCGCAGCGCCUCCCCGGCCUCCUCCAGCUCCUCAUCCUCCUCGAAGCGGAUAUGAAGCGGCUGCGUCGUCGGGGCGGCCGCCUCGUCACCGUCCAGCUGCUCGAAGAGCUCGCGAUCCCCGAAGUCCACCUCAGCCGCCAUCUUAGGCUGCGGCAGGAAGCGGG
rnacentral:lncRNA from 1 species